rnacentral:rRNA from 1 species
CCUACGGGUGGCAGCAGUGGGGAAUAUUGCGCAAUGGGCGAAAGCCUGACGCAGCGAUGCCGCGUGAGGGAUGAAGGUCUUCGGAUUGUAAACCUCUGUCAGCAGGGAAGAACGGUCACUGUGCUAAUCAGCAGUGACUUGACGGUACCUGCACAGGAAGCACCGGCUAACUCCGUGCCAGCAGCCGCGGUAAUACGGAGGGUGCGAGCGUUAAUCGGAAUUACUGGGCGUAAAGCGCUCGUAGGCGGUAUGUCAAGUCAAGGGUGAAAUCCCCGCGCUCAACGUGGGAACUGCCUUUGAAACUGGCAAACUGGAGUGUGUGAGAGGUAAGUGGAAUUCCAAGUGUAGGAGUGAAAUGCGUAGAUAUCAGGAGGAACAUCAGUGGCGAAGGCGACUAUCUGGCACAUAACUGACGCUGAGGAGCGAAAGCGUGGGUAGCAAACAGGAUUAGAUACCCUUGUAGUC